rnacentral:misc_RNA from 1 species
AUAACGUAAGUCCCGUCAUCCUCCCUUCUCCAAUAACGCUGCAAAAGAAGAUCUCUUCUUGUCAUACCCCAAGGUAGCCAGUCCUGAUUUAGAAGCUUAUGAACUAUAUCAGUGUGACCAUCAAGAUGUUCAAUCACACUGCCCUUGUAGAAACAGAAAUCCCAUUCUGAUCUUGAAGAACCAAGUGACAUGAGUGUCUGGAAAAUGGCCUCAGAAGUUCCAUCAACUACGCCAACAGCCAUUAUCGCAGGGUGAUCAUCCCACUUUCCAAGAGAUUCCCUAUCUUUAGCUUCCUUGA